GGGGAUUUAGCUCAGUGGUAGGGCGCUUGCCUAGCAAGUGCGAGGCCCUGAGUUCAGUCCCCA
rnacentral:tRNA from 1 species